CUACUAAUAUCUAUGAGGAUCCAUAGGGGUAUCCUCGUUACACGUGAAUCAUUCUCCUUAACUGUCUUAAUUCCAUGGGCGUCCCCAUACCCCAUCCGGUAUGAGCGUGAAGCGGGCUGUCCCCAAAUCCCGUCCGGUAUGAGCACCAAAUGACCAAGUCUUCAUGCCCCGUCUGCCAUGAGACGACAUUCACGGUAGGGUUUCCUAUGAACCCGGUCUGUCCACCAUCUCCCAGGAUAUCUAGCGAGGCUGUCACCUUAUUUGUUUUCUCUUAGUCUCCGUUACCAAGUUAAACAUAAUCACAUAAACAAUAAACAUACACCCGGUAAUACAAUCAUAUCUUGAUUUCCAAAAUCACACAGUGGUCAAGUAAGACAGUAAUACAUGCAUUUAAGACCAUAGAAUAGAUAGACCAGAUACUAUAAUGCAUUUAAACUGUAAAACAAAUCAAGCAGGAAUCGACAAAGAAUAAUGUCCGGUUCGGGCUCUAUUAGCAACCUUAAUU
rnacentral:lncRNA from 1 species